UCAAGGCCAGCCUGAAUUACAUAGUGAAAGCCUGCCUCAAAAUAAAAUAAAAUAAAAUUCUGAUUUUAUACAACAAUGCUAAUCAACCCUGGAACACUAAAAAUCAGAGAAAAUUUUUGGUCCCACAAGGUCAAGGAGAAAUCCGGACCAUGGGAAAUCACCAAGAUUAAAGAUUCCAGGCCAGCCUUCUCCUGGCACUGUUCACCUUUAUAAGAUGUAUGGAAGGAAAUCAGGACUUGGCUUUCCCUUCAUGUGUUUUUUUCUCUUUUCCUGGUCUUCACUUUCUGGACGUACUCUUUACACAGAAGCACACUUAGCUCCACUUUGCUCUCAUGGAGCCCUACAGUGAGGAAGGGGCUUGUCCAAGGCAUGCGUUCGGUCCCCCUGCUUCUUUUACAGUGCAGAACAAAACCGUCAUAGUAAGAACAGGGAAGCAUGGGCUGUUGUUUUUCCAAGGUCACCAUUCGUCCUGCCCAUUGCCCAACCUGCUCUUGAGGAAAAUGCUGGAAGCCCCUGAAUCAGUCAUACCAAGCCCUCCACCAUGCAGGUCAAAUUACAAAUGCAAACUAAAGUGAAUUUAGGCAGACAAAGAAUCAGUGUGGGUUUUUUGCUCCAGUUUUCAAACUGUCUCAUCUUUGUUCUGUGACAAAAAAACAAAAACACUUGUAUAUUUGCUGUGUCACAGACAACUAACUGUACGUGGAGUACAGAGUCUUGUCCAUGAUUUCCAAAAGCAAGUGAGUAGAAGGGCUUAGGGAAAUACGUCCAGGUCUCAGGGGCCGUGCUGACAGACAUACAAAGGAUUCCAUCAAACUUCGUGACUCUACCCGGAUCAAACGGCCUAACUGUGGGGGUGAACCAACAGGCUAAGUUUGAGGCGCCCUCCACACACUGCAGUGCCUCCUCGGUGUUCCAAGUCAAGAUCACAGGGCCCCCCCCCCGCGCGCUUCUAGAACCACCCAGUUACCAUGGAGACAGUUCUGGGACCGUCGGAGAAUGCCCCCGGGAGCCCGCCGAGAGGCUGACCGGAAGUACUGCGUCGGUGUUUUCCCUUCUCCGUUGUUUCACCACCUUCCUCACACCCUGAGUAGUUCAACAACCAGGCAAAUUGGCAGACAUUCACCUGUUGCCGUGGGGAUUAACGAAGUUAACAAACGUAAAUCAUUUAGAGCAGCGGCGGACAACAGCAGCCCCCUCAGAGUUUAGCGCCCGUUAAGAAACGCGGGAGUCCGGGCCGUGCGAGUGGUUCCGAGCUCGCCUGGCUUCAACAAGGCCCUGUGCGGAAUCCUCGGCACCCCGAAGAAGACAAAAGAGAGAGACUGACUCCUGGCUGUUUCACUGAACAUCCUACCGAGGCCAGCACAUCCUGGCUGUUUUCGAGUCCCUGCUACGAGCCCUUGGGGUGAGAUCGCUGCACGGGUGGCUCCGCUGGCUUGGUCGCUGGCCAAAUGCUCCCACCCGUCUCUUCCCGGACUGGACCCAGACCUUCAGCGGCCGGACCUGGGCGGGGGCUGUGGGCGGUGAUCUUGUCCAUGCUGAUGUGCUGCCCCGUGGCCUGCAGGUGGCAGCACACCCUGGGCCUCGCUGCCCUGUCCCGAGGCCGGGCCGCAGGCAGGAAAAUGGACUCCCUCCUGCUGGGCUGGCUCGACGGCCGCUGCCGGUCUGGGUGAAUGUGAGCGAGGCUGGAGUCUUAUUCCUUCCACGUUAUUUGUUUUUUAGUACAAUAAUGGCAUAAAUCAUGCAUACAAUUUUAA